rnacentral:rRNA from 1 species
AUUGAACGCUGGCGGCAUGCUUUACACAUGCAAGUCGAACGGUAACAGGUUAAGCUGACGAGUGGCGAACGGGUGAGUAAUGCAUCGGAACGUGCCCGAUCGUGGGGGAUAACGCAGCGAAAGCUGCGCUAAUACCGCAUACGAUCUGAGGAUGAAAGCGGGGGACCGUAAGGCCUCGCGCGAUCGGAGCGGCCGAUGUCAGAUUAGGUAGUUGGUGGGGUAAAGGCUCACCAAGCCGACGAUCUGUAGCUGGUCUGAGAGGACGACCAGCCACACUGGGACUGAGACACGGCCGAGACUCCUACGGGAGGCAGCAGUGGGGAAUUUUGGACAAUGGGCGCAAGCCUGAUCCAGCAAUGCCGCGUGCAGGAAGAAGGCCUUCGGGUUGUGAACUGCUUUUGUACGGAGCGAAAAGGCUCUCUCUAAUACAGGGGGCUCAUGACGGUACCGUAAGAAUAAGCACCGGCUAACUACGUGCCAGCAGCCGCCGUAA